CCUACGGGAGGCAGCAGUGAGGAAUAUUGGUCAAUGGACGAGAGUCUGAACCAGCCAAGUAGCGUGAAGGAUGACUGCCCUAUGGGUUGUAAACUUCUUUUAUAUGGGAAUAAAACGUUCCACGUGUGGGAUUUUGUAUGUACCAUAUGAAUAAGGAUCGGCUAACUCCGUGCCAGCAGCCGCGGUAAUACGGAGGAUCCGAGCGUUAUCCGGAUUUAUUGGGUUUAAAGGGGGCGUAGGUGGAUUGUUAAGUCAGUUGUGAAAGUUUGCGGCUCAACCGUAAAAUUGUAGUUGAAACUGGCAGUCUUGAGUACAGUAGAGGUGGGCGGAAUUCGUGGUGUAGCGGUGAAAUGCUUAGAUAUCACGAAGAACUCCGAUUGCGAAGGCAGUUCACUGGACUGCAACUGACACUGAGGCUCGAAAGUGUGGGUAUCAAACAGGAUUAGAUACCCCUGUGGUC
rnacentral:rRNA from 1 species